rnacentral:rRNA from 1 species
CGUACGGGAGGCAGCAGUGGGGAAUAUUGGACAAUGGGGGAAACCCUGAUCCAGCGACGCCGCGUGAGUGAAGAAGUAUUUCGGUACGUAAAGCUCUAUCAGCAGGAAAGAAAAUGACGGUACCUGACUAAGAAGCCCCGGCUAACUACGUGCCAGCAGCCGCGGUAAUACGUAGGGGGCAAGCGUUAUCCGGAUUUACUGGGUGUAAAGGGAGCGUAGACGGCAGCGCAAGUCUGGAGUGAAAUGCCGGGGCCUAACCCCGGAACUGCUCUGGAAACUGCCAUGCUAGAGUGCAGGAGAGGCAGGCGGAAUUCCUAGUGUAGCGGUGAAAUGCGUAGAUAUUAGGAGGAACACCAGUGGCGAAGGCGGCCUGCUGGACUGUAACUGACGUUGAGGCUCGAAAGCGUGGGGAGCAAACAGGAUUAGAUACCCUGGUAGUC